rnacentral:pre_miRNA from 1 species
UGAUAUUUAAACAACAUUUUUUUGACAAUAUUUGAACAUUGAUUACGUGUCAAUAUGUGAUUAGUAAAAAUUUACUCCACAAUCAAUAAUAAUAAUCAUAAACAUUAUUGUGGAGUAAAUUUUUACUAAUCACAUAUUGACACGUAAUCAAUGUUCAAAUGUUGUCAAAAAAAUGUUAUCUAAAUAUCA